CAGUCGCCGCGGUAAUACAGAGGAUGCAAGCGUUAUCCGGAAUGAUUGGGCGUAAAGCGUCUGUAGGUGGCUUUUCAAGUCUGUUGUCAAAUCCCAGGGCUCAACCCUGGACAGGCGGUGGAAACUACCAAGCUGGAGUACGGAAGGGGCAGAGGGAAUUUCCGGUGGAGCGGUGAAAUGCGUUGAGAUCGGAAAGAACACCAUUGGCGAAAGCACUCUACUGGGCCGACACUGACAUUGAGAGACGAAAGCUAGGGGAGCAAAUGGGAUUAGAGACCCCAGUAGUCCCUGUCUCUUAUAC
rnacentral:rRNA from 1 species